rnacentral:rRNA from 1 species
GACGAACGCUGGCGGCGUGCUUAACACAUGCCAGUCGAACGGAAAGGCCCUGCUUUUGUGGGGUGCUCGAGUGGCGCACGUGUGAGUAACACGUGAGUAACCUGCCCUUGACUUUGGGAUAACUUCAGGAAACUGGGGCUAAUACCGGAUAGGAGCUCCUGCUGCAUGGUGGGGGUUGGAAAGUUUCGGCGGUUGGGGAUGGACUCGCGGCUUAUCAGCUUGUUGGUGGGGUAGUGGCUUACCAAGGCUUUGACGGGUAGCCGGCCUGAGAGGGUGACCGGCAACAUUGGGACGGAGAUACGGCCGAGACGACUACGGGAGGCAGCAGUGGGGAAGAAUGCACAAUGGGCGGAAGCCUGAUGCAGCAACGCCGCGUGCUGGAUGACGGCCUUCGGGUUGUAAACCGCUGUCGCCUGUGACGAAGAGUGAGUGACGGUAAUGGGUAAAGAAGCACCGGCUAACUACGUG